GAACUCCGUACGGGAGGCAGCAAGUGGGGAAUAUUGCACAAUGGGCGAAAGCCUGAUGCAGCGACGCCGCGUGAGCGAAGAAGUAUUUCGGUAUGUAAAGCUCUAUCAGCAGGGAAGAUAAUGACGGUACCUGACUAAGAAGCACCGGCUAAAUACGUGC
rnacentral:rRNA from 1 species